rnacentral:rRNA from 1 species
ACAGAUGGACAACAGGUUGAUAUUCCUGUACUACCGAUAACCGUUUGAGAGAAGGGAUGACACAGUAGGAUAAGCUAAGCACACUGUUGGUUAUGUGUGCCCAAGCAUUGAGGCAGUCAAAGUAGGCAAAUCCGCUUUGAUAAUGCUGGGAUGUGAUGGGGAGCGAAAUUUAGUAGCGAAGUAGCUGAUUUCACACUGUCAAGAAAAGUCUCUAUCGAGGUUAAAGGUACCCGUACCGCAAACCGACACAGGUG